CUUUGUCUGCAGGCAGUCAAGUCUUGGAUGGUUAAAAGCAGCCAGCACGGACUCUCCAUCUGCAGGAAGGCCCCUGACGAUUAUUAUUUUGUCUUUUGGGUUCUUUCAGUUUAAAGACUAAGGAUUCCAUCGAGGUAGGGAGUUGAAUUCGACUUCUCGCUACUACUUAAGGAAAGAAGACUGGGAAUGAAAAUGUUUUCAAAUUCUUUGCUGUGUUGUUCAGGUGGCAGAAUCAACCUAAAGCUGUCACUCUUCAUAACAGCACCAUGCCACAAGCACCAGCUAGAACUAACUGCUUCCCAUCCACACCCAGUGGGAGAAGAGAGCAUCUUUUGGUGGCAUUCUCGAGAGAGGGAGUAAUAUUCUUCUCCAGACGCUCCUCAUCAAACAUCUCCUUCCUGUCCCUUUGACACAGUUUGAAUCAUCAUCCUAUCCCACCGCCAUGACUAUGGCCCAUCCCCAGAGCUCCUGUGAAAUCAGUUCCAACCAACCUACAAAGUUGGGAUGCUCUGGAUCCCAUUAGAAAGGAGAUAAUGAAUGCUGGGGAGGCCACAACUACAUUUUCCUAUGAUGCUUAUUUUAAUGUGAUUUCUCUGAAGAAGAUGAAGCAAUUCAUAUUACCCAGAACAGUAAAACUUUGAAAUUGACUCCACAGGUCCAUUGCAAUUGACUUAAUGUGAGACCACAGUCAAGGCUGGCUGCGCAGAAUACUUCUAUGAGCACCUAUGCGGGAGUUAUGCAGGACCUGUGCAGAACCCUUAUUAUUAGAGGAAACGACGCUCUAGCACUAUUAACAAGCUCUGUUUUUGUUUUACAGACUUUGAGUCCCAGAUCAUCAUAGCUUUCCUGUUUCCCUCUGAAGUAAACAGUCUGCCCCAAUUUAACCUUAUUCUUCAAGAAUUCUUUAUGUGUGGUAGCUAUUUGCAGAUGGUUUCUUAUUUUAUUUUUUAUUUUUUGUAUUUCUUUGCCUUUUCUAGGGCCGCUUCUGAGGCAUAUGGAGGUUCCCAGGCUAGGGGUCGAAU